rnacentral:misc_RNA from 1 species
GUGAUGCAAACUGCGACGAUUAUAUGAAUGCUUGCCUGUCCAUUCAUUGCUUUUCGUGAAAUCUAUUCCUACGAUAAGAUUAGAGGACUCGAGUCCAGCUCGUGAAAGAGCCUCAGUGACCUGAUCCAGGGACUUAUAGUUAUCCGCUAUCUGCGAGUACCUCCGAUCCAGCCUCCGGCGCCCCACCGGCGGUGGUACAUGCACCGGCGCCGCCGCCGG